GAAAUGCGAUAAGUAGUGUGAAUUGCAGAAUUCAGUGAAUCAUCGAAUCUUUGAACGCACAUUGCGCCCCUUGGUAUUCCAUGGGGCAUGCCUGUUCGAGCGUCAUCUACACCCUCAAGCUCUGCUUGGUGUUGGGCGUCUGUCCCGCCCCCGCGCGUGGACUCGCCCCAAAUCCAUUGGCAGCAUUCCUUGCCCCCUCUCGCGCAGCACAUUGCGCUUCUCGAGGGCGGCUCCGGGACGCGAUCCAGCAAGAUGACCACCGUCUUUGACCUCGGAUCAGGUAGGGAUACCCGCUGAACUUAAGC
rnacentral:misc_RNA from 1 species